UACGGGGGGGGCAAGCGUUGUUCGGAAUUACUGGGCGUAAAGGGCGCGUAGGCGGCGUAACAAGUCACUUGUGAAAUCUCCGGGCUUAACUCGGAGCGGUCAAGUGAUACUGUUGUGCUAGAGUGCGGAAGGGGCUACUGGAAUUCUCGGUGUAGCGGUGAAAUGCGUAGAUAUCGAGAGGAACACCUGCGGCGAAGGCGGGUAGCUGGGCCGACACUGACGCUGAAGCGCGAAAGCUAGGGGAGCGAACGGG
rnacentral:rRNA from 1 species